AUCUAUCUUGAACAGCUGUACACAAGCCAAUCCCAUCUGGUUCAGGACAACACCAAAGAAGGCUGACUUCCUCUCCCCACUGGCUCUAAGUUUCGCUACGGCACUCUCAAAAGAGUUUCUUGCUUCUUCAUAUCUCCCAACCAUGUAAAGCAUCACUCCCAUUCGUGCUUCUAUUCCUGCAAUAGUGCUUUGCUGUCCUGGUUUAUCCUCUAACAAUUUCAUGGCCUUCUGCAAGAGCUUCAAUGCCUCCUCAGGUUCAUC
rnacentral:misc_RNA from 1 species